rnacentral:rRNA from 1 species
AUUGAACGCUGGCGGUAGGCCUAACACAUGCAAGUCGAACGGCAGCACAGUAAGAGCUUGCUCUUACGGGUGGCGAGUGGCGGACGGGUGAGGAAUACAUCGGAAUCUACUUUUUCGUGGGGGAUAACGUAGGGAAACUUACGCUAAUACCGCAUACGACCUACGGGUGAAAGCAUGGGAUCUUCGGACCUUGCGCGAUUGAAUGAGCCGAUGUCGGAUUAGCUAGUUGGCGGGGUAAAGGCCCACCAAGGCGACGAUCCGUAGCUGGUCUGAGAGGAUGAUCAGCCACACUGGAACUGAGACACGGUCCAGACUCCUACGGGAGGCAGCAGUGGGGAAUAUUGGACAAUGGGCGCAAGCCUGAUCCAGCCAUACCGCGUGGGUGAAGAAGGCCUUCGGGUUGUAAAGCCCUUUUGUUGGGAAAGAAAAGCAGCAGGUUAAUACCCCGCUGUUCUGACGGUACCAAAAGAAUAAGCACCGGCUAACUUCGUG